UGCUUGGACUCUCUAGCGUUCCCAGUAGAUUCGCCAAGUAGUCGCGCCCUAUUUUUCACGAUGGAAAAAAAAUAUUUUUACCAUAGAUGCGGUUUUAUUUAAAAUAAGUGAAAAGAAAAUGUGAAAAGGGAUCUAAAAUGAGACUUUAAAAAAUGCGACACUUUGGGUCCAAAAAUUUAGUCAAAAGGAUUUUAAAGAAAAUAGAAGUCGCCACUUGGUAUUGAGUUUGAGUGUACCAAGUCACCCCAAAAAAUAUUUUUUAACAAAAAUAAAAUAAAAUAAAACUCCUUUCGACAACUACAGGUCUUUGAAAAACAAAAGAAAAUAGGUUCGGAAGUCACGGUCGAAAAAAGGGAAGGCAAAGAUUUGAUUAACUCAAACUUAAGGCAUCCUUUCAACUUAGUCUAAGUUAGUUGCGAGAUUUAGUCAAAAUUUUCCUAAUCUAGCUCUUAAUUCUAUCACAUUUGGAUGUUUUCUACAUGAAUGCAAAUCUAAAUUUAUAAAAUAUCGAAAGGGACAAAAUAUCCAUUUAAGGGUUUAAUUGAUACCAAUCGCAUUGAUUGCGAAGACAAAAUAAUUUCUUGAAGGGGUCACGAGCAUGCAUAAAUUGAAUUCAAAGAAAAGAAAAGAAACUUAAAUUAUAUAUCUAGAUAUAAGUGCGCAAAGAAUAGAAAAACAACAUAAUAGAUACGGGAGACAAAAACUCGUGACCUAAUUUUCUUAUACAGGGAUUAAUGGGUAUUUAAACUAAAAAAUUAUAAUCACCCAUUUCCCAUGUUCAAAGAAUAAUUCUCCUAACAUGAGCAAGCAAAUGAAUUAGCUGAAAUGAGAUACAAUUCUAAAUUAUAUGAUUAACACAUAUAGAGGGUAGGGGAUAAUAUAAUAGGAAAUAUCAUGCAAAUGAGAAAAAUUCUAAAAAUAAAAAUAUACAUGAAAAUGUAAUGGAUAUCAUACAAAAGAUGAAUCUAAUGCAUGAACCAUAUACGGGUCUCGCGUUGGACUAGCCCAUUUCUAAAAAAAUCUUUACUAGCAUUGGACUAGCAAGUAAAUAGAGGGAGAAACCACAACUAGCAUUGGACUAGUGUGGUGACGUCAUGCAUUCUUAACACAUAAUAUGAUAAAUAAGGCAUAAAUUAAAAUAAACAAACACAUAAGAGCACGUAGCACGUAACACAUGAUAUCUAAAUGCAAAGACCCUAAGAAAACGAGUAAACACGUAAACAUACAAGUAUGCAAACACACAAAGCAAAUAAGAGCAGAUAGAGACCUAACUAUUACAAUUUGGCAUUCAAUUGCCUUUUAAAUAAUCAUCAAAAAAUAAAUUUGUAGAACUUAAAAUAUAACAAGUAAAUAAAUAAAUAAAUAAAUAAAACACUUAAGCCAUGCAAUUACAAAUAAAACAUGUAGGAUCACAGAAAAAAUUUUAAAUUAUGAAAGAAAAUACCUCCCAUUGAAGUAGUAGCUACUUGAGUUUGGAUUUGCCCUAUUUAACUCCAAAAUUAACCAAAAUCAUUAAGGCACCCAUUUAAUCAACAAAUAAAUCAUUAAAAAUGGAAAUAAACAUGAAAUCAAUCAACUGAAACAUUCAAAUGGAAUAUAAUUCAUAAUUAAAAAGGAAAAGCAACUUCUAUUUAAGUAAUCAAAUCUAUUAGGGACCUAAUUACAAAAAUUAACAAAGUUUUAGGGAUCAAAUUGAAUUAUCACAAAGACCCAAGGUCAAAAUUAAAGAAAAAUAAAGUUUAGGGACCUAUUUACAAUUAAAUUAGGGACUUAAUUGAAGAAACCUAAAGUAUUUAGGACCACAAUAAAAUUAUUCAAAAAUCAAGGGACUGAAAUAUAAUUUCGUAACCAGAUUCUUAGCCAAAUCGGCCAUUAGGCCACUCUUAUUUAUCAUUUGGGCCAAAGGCCAUAAGGUCCACACAAAAGUCUAAGGAAAAAUACACAGGCUAGCCCGUAGUUGUAUCCAAAACACCAGCCCAAUGACAAAUGCAUGGGCUCUAGCCUCCUAUCCCAAGCCGAAAAUCCCAAUAAAAUAAACUAAAACCCAUUUCUAAAACCCAAACAAAAUAGCCCAGAUUUUUAUAUAAAACCCACCUAACAAACCUCAACCAAAACCUCCAACUAUUUUACCAAACCCAAUCAAAAUAAUAAAUCUAUCAAAAUUAUUAAAUCUUAAAUUUCAUCCUAAAAUUCAUAAAUAAUUUGUAAAAAAAAUCAUAUUAAAAAAUGCCAAAGAAAAUUUAAAUUUAAAGGGGCAGAAUUGAUUAUUUGCAGAAGUUUUUGAUCCACAGUGAAAUUAGGUAAAAAUUGGGGGAUCAAAAAUGAAAUUUUCAGAAAAUUCAUGCAUCCUGCCCAAAGCUUUCUUCUGCAGUUUCUGGGUUUGCUUGUCCGGCCAACUGAAGCUCCGACAGCCACGGCGGCGCCGACGCCUGUCACCGGAAAUUUCUCUGGUUGCCAAAAAUUACCAAAAUACACAUCCCCAUUCGAUUUUUGAAGUAGAUUCUAUUUUUUAAGUUAAUUUUUACAAAAAAAUGACCCGAAAGUGGCCAAAAGAGCAAAAGCCAGUCCAGUUUUUUUUUAACAUUCAAAUCUUCAUCAAAAAUCACAAAACUUUAUACUACCACACUCCUUGCAACUUCUACAAUACCACUAUAUUUUUAAAAUAAAGCAAAACAGCCCCUAAAAUUUAUUUUUUUUUCAUUUUGGCAUUUUUUCAAACAGUUAGCAUACAUAUAUAAAAAUUAUUUCCUUUUCCCUAAUCUAAUUCAAAUCAUUUUCCAAAUUUUUAACAAUACAACAAUAACAAUAAAAGACCACAAAAGCCAGAAAAUUAAACGAUAAAAUAUGGCUUUAACAUGGUUAACAAAAAAAUGAAAAAAAUACCUCAAUCUAAGCAAGAGUUUCACGGUCAAAAUUUUGAAGGGACUCCCAGGCUUCAUUCCUUCGUUGCUUGCUUUGUUGUAUUUAAAUUGUGUGUAGAUGUGUUGUGUGAAUUGAGAAAAUGGAGGGAUAGAGCCGAAAGGAUCAGAGAAAUUUUUUUCUCCUUCUUCCUCUCUGUUUUUUUAUUUCGGCAGCCUAAGCUGAGAGAAGAAGAGAGUGAGGGUCUCUCUGCAAAAUUUUCUUCUACUCCAUUGAGCCAGC
rnacentral:lncRNA from 1 species